rnacentral:rRNA from 1 species
GAUCAUGGCUCAGGAUGAACGCUAGCGACAGGCCUAACACAUGCAAGUCGAGGGGCAGCGGAGAGGUAGCAAUACCUUUGCCGGCGACCGGCGCACGGGUGAGUAACACGUAUCCAACCUGUCGUCUACUCUUGGACAGCCUUCUGAAAGGAAGAUUAAUACAAGAUGGCAUCAUGAGUCCGCAUGUUCACAUGAUUAAAGGUAUUCCGGUAGACGAUGGGGAUGCG